UACGUAGGUGGCAAGCGUUAUCCGGAAUUAUUGGGCGUAAAGCGCGCGCAGGCGGUUUUUUUAAGUCUGAUGUGAAAGCCCACGGCUCAACCGUGGAGGGUCAUUGGGAAACUGGGGAACUUGAGUGCAGAAGAGAAAAGCGGAAUUCCACGUGUAGCGGUGAAAUGCGUAGAGAUGUGGAGGAACACCAGUGGCGAAGGCGGCUUUUUGGUCUGUAACUGACGCUGAGGCGCGAAAGCGUGGGGAGCAAACAGG
rnacentral:rRNA from 1 species